AUUGAACGCUGGCGGCAUGCCUUACACAUGCAAGUCGAACGGCAGCGCGGACUUCGGUCUGGCGGCGAGUGGCGAACGGGUGAGUAAUACAUCGGAACGUACCCUGUUGUGGGGGAUAACUAGUCGAAAGAUUAGCUAAUACCGCAUACGACCUGAGGGUGAAAGUGGGGGACCGCAAGGCCUCACGCAGCAGGAGCGGCCGAUGUCUGAUUAGCUAGUUGGUGGGGUAAAGGCCCACCAAGGCGACGAUCAGUAGCUGGUCUGAGAGGACGAUCAGCCACACUGGGACUGAGACACGGCCCAGACUCCUACGGGAGGCAGCAGUGGGGAAUUUUGGACAAUGGGGGCAACCCUGAUCCAGCAAUGCCGCGUGUGUGAAGAAGGCCUUCGGGUUGUAAAGCACUUUUGUCCGGAAAGAAAUCGCGCUGGUUAAUACCUGGCGUGGAUGACGGUACCGGAAGAAUAAGCACCGGCUAACUAUGUG
rnacentral:rRNA from 1 species